rnacentral:rRNA from 1 species
UACAUGGCGUACUGCUCAGUAACACGUGGACAACCUACCCUUAGGUCUGGGAUAAACCCGGGAAACUGGGUAUAAUACCGGAUAGAUCUCGACUGCUGGAAUGCAUCGAGAUCUAAAGCUCCGGCGCCUAAGGAUGGGUCUGCGGCCUAUCAGGUAGUAGUGGGUGUAGCGUACCUACUAGCCUACGACGGGUACGGGUUGUGAGAGCAAGAGCCCGGAGAUGGAUUCUGAGACACGAAUCCAGGCCCUACGGGGUGCAGCAGGCGCGAAAACUUUACAAUGCUGGAAACAGCGAUAAGGGGACCUCGAGUGCCAGGUUACAAAUCUGGCUGUCGUGAUGCCUAAAAAGCAUUGCAUAGCAAGGGCCGGGCAAGACCGGUGCCAGCCGCCGCGGUAACACCGGCGGCUCGAGUGGUAACCGUUAUUAUUGGGUCUAAAGGGUCUGUAGCCGGCCGGAUAAGUCUCUUGGGAAAUCCAGCAGCUCAACUGUUGGGCUUUCAGGAGAUACUGUCUGGCUCGAGGCCGGGAGAGGUGAGAGGUACUUCAGGGGUAGGGGUGAAAUCUUGUAAUCCUUGAAGGACCACCAGUGGCGAAGGCGUCUCACCAGAACGGACCUGACGGCAAGGGACGAAAGCUAGGGGCACGAACCGGAUUAGAUACCCGGGUAGUCCUAGCCGUAAACGAUACUCGCUAGGUGUCGGCCACGGUGCGACCGUUGU